GACGAACGCUGGCGGCGCGCCUAACACAUGCAAGUCGAACGAGAGAUGAGGAGCUUGCUCUUCAAAUCGAGUGGCGAACGGGUGAGUAACGCGUGAGGAACCUGCCUCAAAGAGGGGGACAACAGUUGGAAACGACUGCUAAUACCGCAUAAGCCCACAGCUCGGCAUCGAGCAGAGGGAAAAGGAGCGAUCCGCUUUGAGAUGGCCUCGCGUCCGAUUAGCUAGUUGGUGAGGUAACGGCCCACCAAGGCGACGAUCGGUAGCCGGACUGAGAGGUUGAACGGCCACAUUGGGACUGAGACACGGCCCAGACUCCUACGGGAGGCAGCAGUGGGGAAUAUUGCACAAUGGGGGAAACCCUGAUGCAGCGACGCCGCGUGGAGGAAGAAGGUCUUCGGAUUGUAAACUCCUGU
rnacentral:rRNA from 1 species